UCCCAGUGAUGAACCCUGCACACGUCUUACGCACUGAACUGGGACCAGAACCUGCAAAGGUGAACCCACUGGUGCCGUCAGUGCAAGAAGGGGAUGGCUUGUUGGGGUCUCCAACUGUCUGAUGGGAC